CUGGAAUUCAACUACAAGUGUGCUGAAGAAGGGGGCAUAGAGAUUCCGGUGGGGUGUAAAUUCUUCCUGGUGAGUGGUGGUGCCUCAGGGGUCUGAUGAUAUAAAUAGACUCCCUAAGACAGUGUUUCAUUCUAAGAAAAUAAUGGAGUAACUGAACAGAAAAUCUGAAUCCUUUUGCUUUUCUUUAAGCUAAGUAGCGUGCACUUGGGAGUCUGUCUCUUCAAAGAAGUGCUGCUGCUACCAGUAUUUAAGAGAAGAGGUCAGGUCAGUGGCAUAACACACUAAUAUGGUUUAAAAAGUGGUAGCAAAGGGUACUGGACAAGAGUUGGCAAGAGAAGAGGUGGUUACAGAUGGAAAACAUUUUUUUUUAUUUUAAUACUAUUUUAAUAAUUCAGUCUUUAAAAAUCUUUCUCCAUUGUUUGCUGGCUUGCACAGUGUUUGAGAAGCUGGUCAUUACUUUUUACUCUCUUGUAUGUAAUGGUCUUUCUUCUGGCUGCUGUUAAGAUUUUUCUCUUUAUUAUGGUUUUAAGUAAUCUGAUUAUGAUGUCACUUAAUGUAGUUUUAUUUCUGCUUAAGCUUCUUGGAUCUUUGGAUUUAUAAUUUCUGCUUAAGCUUCUUGGAUCUUUGGAUUAUAAUUUUUAUCAAAUUAUAAAAUUCAUCAGUUGAGAUGAACAAUCGGUUGAGAAACAGACUCUUGGUUUUGUCUCUGGUCGUAGUCUGAGGUCAUGAGUUUGAACCCGGCAUCAGGUUCCCUGCUCAGCACAGAGUCUGCUUAACUUUCUCUCUCUCUUCCUGUGCUUGCUUUCUGUCUCUCUAAAAUAAAAUAAAUCUCAAAAAAAAAAAAUCAUCAGUCAUUAUCUCUUCAAAAUUUUUUUCUGCCUGCUUCUUUCUUUUAUGUAUAUUACAUUGCUUGUAAUUGUCCACAUCUCCAGAGCUUUGUUCUUUCAAUUUCAGUCUUUUUUCUCUCUGUUUCAUUCUGAAUUAUUUUUAUUGCUAUGUCUUCAAGUUUACUGAUCUUUUCUUGAUAUGCUGUUGAUCCCAUCCACUGUAGUUUUUAUUUCAAGCAUCAUAUUUUUCAUCUUUCCAAGUUUGAUAUGGGUCAUUAUUAGAUAUUAUUAGAUAUUCUGCAUCCUUAUUUACAUGAACUAUUUUAAAG
rnacentral:lncRNA from 1 species